CCUACGGGUGGCAGCAGUGAGGAAUAUUGGUCAAUGGCCGAGAGGCUGAACCAGCCAAGUCGCGUGAGGGACGACGGUCCUAUGCAUUGUAAACUUCUUUUGCCGGGGAGCAAAAUGCGGCACGUGUACCUCAUCGAGGGUACCCGGAGAAAAAGCAUCGGCUAACUCCGUGCCAGCAGCCGCGGUAAUACGGAGGAUGCGAGCGUUAUCCGGAUUUAUGGGGUUUAAGGGGUGCGAAGGCGGCCUGUUAAGUCAGCGGUAAAAUUUCGGGGCUCAACCCCGGCAAGCCGUUGAAACUGGCGUGCUAGAGUGGGCGAGAGGUAUGCGGAAGGCGGGGUGUAGCGGUGAAAUGCAUAGAUAUCACGCAGAACUCCGAUUGCGAAGGCAGCAUACCGGCGCCCAACUGACGCUCAGGCACGAAAGCGUGGGUAUCGAACAGGAUUAGAUACCCCGGUAGUC
rnacentral:rRNA from 1 species